UACAGAGGGUGCGAGCGUUAAUCGGAAUUACUGGGCGUAAAGCGCACGUAGGCGGAUAGUUAAGUUGGGGGUGAAAUCCCGGGGCUCAACCCCGGAACUGCCUUCGAUACUGGCUGUCUGGAGGUCGAGAGAGGUGAGUGGAAUUCCGAGUGUAGAGGUGAAAUUCGUAGAUAUUCGGAGGAACACCAGUGGCGAAGGCGGCUCACUGGCUCGAUACUGACGCUGAGGUGCGAAAGCGUGGGGAGCAAACAGG
rnacentral:rRNA from 1 species